rnacentral:tRNA from 1 species
AGGUUCAGGUGUUAUUUUGCAUAUUUUGUUUUGGUCAAGAUGGAGGUUUUAGGUUGCCGGAUCUAG